rnacentral:rRNA from 1 species
AGUGAACGCUGGCGGUAGGCCUAACACAUGCAAGUCGAACGGCAGCACAGUAAGAGCUUGCUCUUACGGGUGGCGAGUGGCGGACGGGUGAGGAAUACAUCGGAAUCUACUUUUUCGUAGGGGAUAACGUAGGGAAACUUACGCUAAUACCGCAUACGACCUACGGGUGAAAGCAGGGGAUCUUCGGACCUUGCGCGAUUGAAUGAGCCGAUGUCGGAUUAGCUAGUUGGCGGGGUAAAGGCCCACCAAGGCGACGAUCCGUAGCUGGUCUGAGAGGAUGAUCGGCCACACUGGAACUGAGACACGGUCCAGACUCCUACGGGAGGCAGCAGUGGGGAAUAUUGGACAAUGGGCGCAAGCCUGAUCCAGCCAUACCGCGUGUGUGAAGAAGGCCUUCGGGUUGUAAAGCCCUUUUGUUGGGAAAGAAAAGCAGCAGGUUAAUACCCCGCUGUUCUGACGGUACCCAAAGAAUAAGCACCGGCUAACUUCGUG